UGGGGAAUAUUGCACAAUGGGCGCAAGCCUGAUGCAGCAACGCCGCGUGAACGAUGAAGGUCUUCGGAUCGUAAAGUUCUGUUGCAGGGGAAGAUAAUGACGGUACCCUGUGAGGAAGCCCCGGCUAACUACGUGCCAGCAGCCGCGGUAAUACGUGGGGGGCUAGCGUUAUCCGGAUUUACUGGGCGUAAAGGGUGCGUAGGUGGUCUUUCAAGUCGGUGGUUAAAGGCUACGGCUCAACCGUAGUUAGCCUCCGAAACUGGAAGACUUGAGUGCAGGAGAGGAAAGUGGAAUUCCCAGUAUAGCGGUGAAAGGCGUAGAUAUUGGGAGGAACACCAGUAGCGAAGGCGGCUUUAUGGACUGCAACAGACACUGAGGCACGAAAGCGUGGGUAGCAAACAGG
rnacentral:rRNA from 1 species